GUACCAAGCUCGUAGUUUCUUUCAAGAAAAAUAAUUAACCUCUCUCUUUCGCGCCAAUUGUACACUAAUCCAUUUCCUAUGGACUCAGAGAAAAGUGGUGAAGCAACAAUCACUAUCCAAGAACCAAAGACCGACCCUAAAAGGAAGGGCAUUGCUGGUAGAGGUGCUGGUGCUCCUGCUGCUGUUGUAGUCACUACUAAAGCUACCCAGCAG
rnacentral:misc_RNA from 1 species